GCCAUUUUGUGAGCCCUCCUAAAGCUGCUGAGCAAUGUGAAGAAAUCGCUGAUUUUAAAAAAACUCGGAGCCAAGGAAGAGCACUGGAGAUGUCAGCAAAGCCACUCCUGAGGGAGGCACUGGGAAAAAGCGGUAUUUCCUUGUGCAGUGAGUGCUUUGGGAGAGUGUUGUGUGCUACACCUGGAGAUCAGCCAGCCAGAGGGCUGACCUCAGAAAACAGGCAGGGGCAAAGAAAAAGCCAGCUUCUGACGGAUGUGGAUGGUGUGAAGGUGUGCUUGAUGUGACAGGCUGCCCUGCUUCCCCCAGAGGCAGAUCCAGGGUAGUUAUGCACUACCUGUGGAUAAACAAGGUUCGAAGAUGUGCUUAAGGACUAGGGAGCUUCCUGAAGUGGGCCCUUUCUGGAAAGACUGAGAUUGCUUCCCAGUAUCUUUGAGAUGGCCCAGCAUGUUCAGAUGGGAAGACCACCUACUCACACCCAUGAAAGACUCCUCAAGCAUGGUCUAAGGAUAGAAGUGUGUAUGUGAUACAGACAGAGCAUUGACCCAUGGCCCCUCUGUCAUCACAUGAAGGUGGCAGUCCAUGAGGUGACUCCAAAAACAACAGAAAAACAUUGAAGGCAAAAUGUUUGUUCUGUUCAUCUGGGAGAGCAACCAGCCAGAGUGGUGGAGGGUGAAGAAAGAAACCUUCUUACCAGGAGUGAUCAGAGACCUGGACUGAACUGGCUGCUAUGUGCAGAGCCAGAUCCCCAAAGGUAUUUUGGUACCCAAUUCCCAACUAGUUGCUUAAAGAGCAAGCAGGACUUAAAUAUUUGG